GGGUUGCGCGCGGACCAAGAUCGAGUUGCCAAGUCACGGGAAACUCUUACGAAAACCCUAAACAAUCAGAUCUGAAACGAAACAGAAAAUUAAAAGAUUAGAAUUUUGAAUUUCCAGAUCUGAAAUAAAAUCUCCAAAUCAGCAAAGAAUCAAAUUGAGAAUAAAAAUAAGUGUUAAUAAGGGUUCUUGAAACCCUAAAGGAGAUUCCGAUUCUGCCCAAUUGAACACCAAGAUAGUUUUCCCCAAAUUUCGGCAAUCUAAUUUCACCCAAAAAGAGUAAGGA
rnacentral:lncRNA from 1 species